rnacentral:rRNA from 1 species
CGGGACACGUGGUAUCCUGUCUGAAUAUGGGGGGACCAUCCUCCAAGGCUAAAUACUCCUGACUGACCGAUAGUGAACCAGUACCGUGAGGGAAAGGCGAAAAGAACCCCGGCGAGGGGAGUGAAAAAGAACCUGAAACCGUGUACGUACAAGCAGUGGGAGCACGCUUAGGCGUGUGACUGCGUACCUUUUGUAUAAUGGGUCAGCGACUUAUAUUCUGUAGCAAGGUUAACCGAAUAGGGGAGCCGAAGGGAAACCGAGUCUUAACUGGGCGUUAAGUUGCAGGGUAUAGACCCGAAACCCGGUGAUCUAGCCAUGGGCAGGUUGAAGGUUGGGUAACACUAACUGGAGGACCGAACCGACUAAUGUUGAAAAAUUAGCGGAUGACUUGUGGCUGGGGGUGAAAGGCCAAUCAAACCGGGAGAUAGCUGGUUCUCCCCGAAAGCUAUUUAGGUAGCGCCUCGUGAAUUCAUCUCCGGGGGUAGAGCACUGUUUCGGCAAGGGGGUCAUCCCGACUUACCAACCCGAUGCAAACUGCGAAUACCGGAGAAUGUUAUCACGGGAGACACACGGCGGGUGCUAACGUCCGUCGUGAAGAGGGAAACAACCCAGACCGCCAGCUAAGGUCCCAAAGUCAUGGUUAAGUGGGAAACGAUGUGGGAAGGCCCAGACAGCCAGGAUGUUGGCUUAGAAGCAGCCAUCAUUUAAAGAAAGCGUAAUAGCUCACUGGUCGAGUCGGCCUGCGCGGAAGAUGUAACGGGGCUAAACCAUGCACCGAAGCUGCGGCAGCGACACUAUGUGUUGUUGGGUAGGGGAGCGUUCUGUAAGCCUGUGAAGGUGUACUGUGAGGUAUGCUGGAGGUAUCAGAAGUGCGAAUGCUGACAUAAGUAACGAUAAAGCGGGUGAAAAGCCCGCUCGCCGGAAGACCAAGGGUUCCUGUCCAACGUUAAUCGGGGCAGGGUGAGUCGACCCCUAAGGCGAGGCCGAAAGGCGUAGUCGAUGGGAAACAGGUUAAUAUUCCUGUACUUGGUGUUACUGCGAAGGGGGGACGGAGAAGGCUAUGUUGGCCGGGCGACGGUUGUCCCGGUUUAAGCGUGUAGGCUGGUUUUCCAGGCAAAUCCGGAAAAUCAAGGCUGAGGCGUGAUGACGAGGCACUACGGUGCUGAAGCAACAAAUGCCCUGCUUCCAGGAAAAGCCUCUAAGCAUCAGGUAACAUCAAAUCGUACCCCAAACCGACACAGGUGGUCAGGUAGAGAAUACCAAGGCGCUUGAGAGAACUCGGGUGAAGGAACUAGGCAAAAUGGUGCCGUAACUUCGGGAGAAGGCACGCUGAUAUGUAGGUGAAGUCCCUCGCGGAUGGAGCUGAAAUCAGUCGAAGAUACCAGCUGGCUGCAACUGUUUAUUAAAAACACAGCACUGUGCAAACACGAAAGUGGACGUAUACGGUGUGACGCCUGCCCGGUGCCGGAAGGUUAAUUGAUGGGGUUAGCGCAAGCGAAGCUCUUGAUCGAAGCCCCGGUAAACGGCGGCCGUAACUAUAACGGUCCUAAGGUAGCGAAAUUCCUUGUCGGGUAAGUUCCGACCUGCACGAAUGGCGUAAUGAUGGCCAGGCUGUCUCCACCCGAGACUCAGUGAAAUUGAACUCGCUGUGAAGAUGCAGUGUACCCGCGGCAAGACGGAAAGACCCCGUGAACCUUUACUAUAGCUUGACACUGAACAUUGAGCCUUGAUGUGUAGGAUAGGUGGGAGGCUUUGAAGUGUGGACGCCAGUCUGCAUGGAGCCGACCUUGAAAUACCACCCUUUAAUGUUUGAUGUUCUAACGUUGACCCGUGAUCCGGGUUGCGGACAGUGUCUGGUGGGUAGUUUGACUGGGGCGGUCUCCUCCUAAAGAGUAACGGAGGAGCACGAAGGUUGGCUAAUCCUGGUCGGACAUCAGGAGGUUAGUGCAAUGGCAUAAGCCAGCUUGACUGCGAGCGUGACGGCGCGAGCAGGUGCGAAAGCAGGUCAUAGUGAUCCGGUGGUUCUGAAUGGAAGGGCCAUCGCUCAACGGAUAAAAGGUACUCCGGGGAUAACAGGCUGAUACCGCCCAAGAGUUCAUAUCGACGGCGGUGUUUGGCACCUCGAUGUCGGCUCAUCACAUCCUGGGGCUGAAGUAGGUCCCAAGGGUAUGGCUGUUCGCCAUUUAAAGUGGUACGCGAGCUGGGUUUAGAACGUCGUGAGACAGUUCGGUCCCUAUCUGCCGUGGGCGCUGGAGAACUGAGGGGGGCUGCUCCUAGUACGAGAGGACCGGAGUGGACGCAUCACUGGUGUUCGGGUUGUCAUGCCAAUGGCACUGCCCGGUAGCUAAAUGCGGAAGAGAUAAGUGCUGAAAGCAUCUAAGCACG